rfam:Ixodes scapularis strain Wikel colony gcontig_1107728602652, whole genome shotgun sequence.
GCAGUCGUGGCCGAGUGUUUAAGGCGAUGUACUAGAAAUCCAUUUGGGUCUCCCCGCACAGGGUCGAUACCGGUCGACUGCG